UGACGUGUGUGAUCAUACUGCUGGGUGCACAUAUUCAGAAGAGCUCUUUGCAAAACAAUGACGCAGCUUUGCACAUCGUCACAGAGAGACUGCAGCUCUUUGAAUACACACCCUUCUCUUUUCUCUGCGAGGGUCUUGGCUCUGCUCUGAGGGGGUUUCGGAACAACAAUGAGUUAAUUCAGGGUUGUUAUAAUAUUGAUUCAUCAACACUGAACUGCACCAUUCAACAGGCCUAUGAUUCAGACAGCGGGGUUUACUGGUGUGAGGAUGAGAAAGGAGAGAAGAGCAACUCAUCAAGAUCACCGUCACCGGAGGCUCUGUGAUCCUGGAGAGUCCUGUGCUUCCUGUGAUGGAGGGAGAAUCUGUUACUCUGAGCUGCAGGAAAAAGAAGACCACUUCCUCCAUCCUCUCAGCUGACUUCUAUAAAGAUGGCCGCCUCAUCAGGAGCAGCUCUACAGGAAUCAUAACAUUCGAAAAUCU